CCCUAAACCUCACUUCUUUCUGAUUCUUCAUCCCACUCCGUUGUUAAAUAGUUAUCGGCGGCAAGAUUCGACCGUUCGGGUGGCGUUUAAGCAUUUGGAGAAGAUCGUCGAGCUGAGAUCGGGGCAACAUAUAUCUCUUGCUCAGCAGAUCCAGCAGGUGAUGGACACGUUUCAGCAGUUCAUUAUCACCAUGGAGGAGGUUGCAGCAAAAAAUCUGAUUUCCAACUCCAUAUUCUACAUUUUGAUUGGGAGCAACGACUACAUACACUAUUAUCUCCUAAAUGAAUCCAAAGUGCAAUCCUUGUACCUGCCUUGGAGCUUCAACCAGUUCCUAGCUCGAGAUUCAGAAUCUGUACACUGCAAAUGUGAGAAAUGUGGUUGUAAUGGGACUAGCUCCUCUGGGAUGUGCCCCUUAUUACUUAUGGCUGUAUGAGAGUGAGAAUGGAGAGUGUGUAGAGAUGAUAAAAGACAUGAUAGUGGAGAUGAAGCUGAGAUGCCGUUAACUAUGAGGCCCUUUGCUACAUCCCCGAGAUUGAAGAGUUCUGAAAGAAACUGGUUGAGCACCUCAGAGGCGAAGACGGU